GCCCCUGUAGCUCAGUUGGAUAGAGCAGCGGAUUCCUAAUCCGGAGGUCGCCUGUUCGAGUCAGGCCAGGGGCA
rnacentral:tRNA from 3 species